CAGCAGCCGCGGGAAUACGAAGGGGGCUAGCGUUGCUCGGAAUGACUGGGCGUAAAGGGCGUGUAGGCGGUUUUGACAGUCAGAUGUGAAAUUCCUGGGCUUAACCUGGGGGCUGCAUUUGAGACGUUAAGACUAGAGUGUGAGAGAGGGUUGUGGAAUUCCCAGUGUAGAGGUGAAAUUCGUAGAUAUUGGGAAGAACACCGGUGGCGAAGGCGGCAACCUGGCUCAUUACUGACGCUGAGGCGCGAAAGCGUGGGGAGCAAACAGGAUUAGAUACCCCCGUAGUCCCUGUCUCUUAUAC
rnacentral:rRNA from 1 species